rnacentral:rRNA from 1 species
GACGUGGGGGAACUGAUCCGCAAUGCCGCGUGAGUGAAGAAGGCCUUCGGGUUGUAAAGCUCUUUUGUCAGGGAAGAAACACCGGCUCUAACACAGUCCGGGAAUGACGGUACCUGAAGAAUAAGCACCGGCUAACUACGUGCCAGCAGCCGCGGUAAUACGUAGGGUGCGAGCGUUAAUCGGAAUUACUGGGCGUAAAGCGUGCGCAGGCGGUUAUACAAGACAGGCGUGAAAUCCCCGGGCUUAGCCUGGGAAUGGCGCCUGUGACUGUAUAGCUAGAGUGUGUCAGAGGGGGGUAGAAUUCCACGUGUAGCAGUGAAAUGCGUAGAUAUGUGGAGGAAUACCAAUGGCGAAGGCAGCCCCCUGGGAUAACACUGACGCUCAUGCACGAAA